rnacentral:rRNA from 1 species
GAUGAACGCUGGCGGCGUGCCUAAUACAUGCAAGUCGAGCGAACGGACGAGAAGCUUGCUUCUCUGAUGUUAGCGGCGGACGGGUGAGUAACACGUGGAUAACCUACCUGUAAGACUGGGAUAACUUCGGGAAACCGGAGCUAAUACCGGAUGAUAUUUUGAACCGCAUGGUUCAAAAGUGAAAGACGGUCUUACUGUCACUUAUAGAUGGAUCCGCGCUGCAUUAGCUAGUUGGUAAGGUAACGGCUUACCAAGGCAACGAUGCAUAGCCGACCUGAGAGGGUGAUCGGCCACACUGGAACUGAGACACGGUCCAGACUCCUACGGGAGGCAGCAGUAGGGAAUCUUCCGCAAUGGGCGAAAGCCUGACGGAGCAACGCCGCGUGAGUGAUGAAGGUCUUCGGAUCGUAAAACUCUGUUAUUAGGGAAGAACAUAUGUGUAAGUAACUGUGCACAUCUUGACGGUACCUAAUCAGAAAGCCACGGCUAACUACGUG